CAUUUCAGCUAUUCCCAAAGUUGUAAAUGGCCAGAUGGUAGUGUGGUCGUGCCAGUUAAACACUUUGGUCACUCCUGUGCUUCCUAAUUUACUACCUUAGGUAAGUAAUAAGUGCUGACUGAAUAUGUACUGUGACUAGAGAAGUUACAUUUACCCAAAACGAAGAAGCACUUACCACUUGGUUUCCUGUUCCAUAUCAUUUACAGAACAGCAUUUUGUACGAGUGCGAAGACAGAAUCUACUCUCACCACACUUCAACCCACUGAGGAUUAUAUUAUCAGUCAGAAGAAGAAGAAAAUCUUCUCCUCACAGGAGGGUUGGAGAGCAGUUGAGCGAAGGCAAAGUCAGAGAAGGAGAAUCUCCCUGCACAAGCGGAUUUUAAGAGACUUUGCAAAUGAUGGUACUUGAAGCUGCAGAAACUCUUCUGAACUCAAGCACAGAUAUUGAAGCAUUCCUGUAUAAUCUGUCCAUCACAGCAAUGCUGCAUAAUUACUUCAUCCCCAUGAACAAAAGUACUGGUUCCAGUUACAUUUGGUAAGUAGUUUGUGCUCUUAAAAAGGGGUGGAUGGACGGUUAGGGGAGCCCUUGAAUUAUUAAAAGACUAUAUGAAGCACAGUCAUCUCCUGAUGGAGCAGGAGCAGUUUCCACACUGAGUAGACACACUUUUCCAUUUUAGACAGGAAACACCGAACACUUAAAACUUGGUAAGAUGGAAAUUGAAAUACCGGAAUUUCUGAUUCCUGCCAUGAUGCCUCCUUUGGAGACCAGCAUGCCAGGCCUAUGCAGCACAAGGAGGGAGAGAGAAAGAACUGAACCCUGCGGGAUGAGUGCAUCACUCGUGGAUAAGCAGGUUGCAGCUGUCUACUUUCCAGCUGCUGCCAUGGAAUUCCACAGGGUUCCAUUUUGUCCCCCAAGCUUUUUAACAUCUGCAUGAAACAGCUGGGAGAGGUCAGCUGGAGGUUUGGGCUAUGGUGCCAUCAGAACGCUGAUGACACCCAGCUCUACCUCUCUCUUGCCUCUAGUCCGGGUGAGGUAGGAGCUGUACUCAACCAGUGCCUGGCCGAGGUAAUGGGCUGGAUGAGGGCCAAUACAUUGAGACUUCAUCCUGAUAAGAGGGAGGUCCUGUUGGUUGGCAGUUCAGCCUUCCAGGCAAGUGCUUUUAGCCCUGUCCAGGAGUGGGUUCCACUCCCCCUAAAGGAUAUGGUUUGCAGUUUGGGAGUGCUCCU